GAUGAACGCUGGCGGCGUGCCUAAUACAUGCAAGUCGAGCGAACGGACGAGGAGCUUGCUUCUCUGAUGUUAGCGGCGGACGGGUAAGUAACACGUGGAUAACCUACCUAUAAGACUGGGAUAACUUCGGGAAACCGGAGCUAAUACCGGAGAAUAUUUUGAACCGCAGGGUGCAAAAGUGAGAGACGGUCGUGCUGUCACGUAUAGAUGGAUCCGCGCUGCAUUAGCUAGUUGGUAAGGUAACGGCUUAUCAAGGCAACGAUGCAUAGCCGACCUGUGAGGGUGGUCGCCCACACUAGAGCUGGACCGCCGUCCAUACUCCUGCGGGAGGCGGCAGUCGCGAAUCUUCCGCAAUGGGCGGAAACCUUGCGGAGCAAGGCCGCGUCAGUGGUAAAGGUCCUCGGAUCGUAAAGCUCUGUUAUUGGGGGAGAACAGAUGUGUCAGGAGCUGUGCACAUCGUGACGGUACCUAAUCAGAAAGCCACGGCUAACUACGUG
rnacentral:rRNA from 1 species